AAAGGAAUAGACGGGGGCCCGCACAAGCAGCGGAGCGUGUGGUUUAAUUCGAUGCAACACGAAAAACCUCACCAGGGCUUGACAUGUCGGAAGUAGUGAACCGAAAGGGGAGCGAACCGUUGAGUCGGUAGCCGUCACAGGUGCUGCAUGGCUGUCGUCAGCUCGUGCCGUGAGGUGUAUGGUUAAGUCCUGCAACGAGCGCAACCCUCAUUGCUAGUUGUUUUCUCUAGCGAGACUGCCUCGCAAAACGGGGAGGAAGGUGGGGAUGACGUCAAGUCAGCAUGGCCUUUAUGCCCUGGGCUACACACACGCUACAAUGGGUGGCACAGCAGGUUGCAACAACGCGAGUUGAAGCUAAUCCCCAAAGCCAUCCUCAGUACAGAUCGCAGGCUGCAACCCGCCUGCGUGAAGUCGGAGUUGCUAGUAACCGCAUAUCAGCAUGGUGCGGUGAAUACGUUCUCGGGCCUUGUACACACCGCCCGU
rnacentral:rRNA from 1 species